rnacentral:piRNA from 1 species
CAACAACAAAAAACAAGAUACAAAAU